AACGAACGCUGGCGGCACGUCUUAAGCAUGCAAGUCGAACGGCAAGAUUGGUGCUUGCACCGAUCCUAGAGUGGCGGACUAGUGAGUAACGCGUGGGUGACGUACCCUAAGGAUGGGGAUAGCUGGUAGAAAUAUCAGAUAAUACCGAAUAUCCUUAUUGUUGUUAGAGGACAGUAAGGAAAGGAGCUUUGGCUUCGCCUGAGGAUCGGCCCGCGUACUAUUAGCUAGUUGGUGAGGUAACGGCUCACCAAGGCGACGAUAGUUAUCCGGCCUAAGAGGGUGAACGGACACAUUGGGACUGAGAUACGGCCCAGACUCCUACGGGAGGCAGCAGCUAAGAACAUUCCGCAAUGGAGGAAACUCUGACGGAGCGACGCCGCGUGGAUGAUGAAGGCCGGAAGGUUGUAAAAUCCUUUUAAGCAAGAAGAAUAAACUUUACAGGGAAUGGUAGAGUGGUGACGGUAUUGCUUGAAUAAGCAACGGCUAAUUUCGUGCCAGCAGCCGCGGUAACAC
rnacentral:rRNA from 1 species